rnacentral:rRNA from 1 species
UACGUAGGGUGCGAGCGUUAAUCGGAAUUACUGGGCGUAAAGCGUGCGCAGGCGGUUUGGUAAGACAGAUGUGAAAUCCCCGGGCUUAACCUGGGAACUGCAUUUGUGACUGCCAGACUAGAGUGUAGCAGAGGGGGGUAGAAUUCCACGUGUAGCAGUGAAAUGCGUAGAGAUGUGGAGGAAUACCAAUGGCGAAGGCAGCCCCCCUGGGAUAAGACUGACGCUCAUGCACGAAAGCGUGGGGGGAGCAAACAGGAUUAGAUACCCUGGUAGUCCACACCCUAAACGAUGUCAACUGGUUGUUGGGCAACUUGAUUGUUCAGUAACGAAGCUAACGCGAGAAGUUGACCGCCUGGGGAGUACGGUCGCAAGAUUAAAACU